rnacentral:misc_RNA from 1 species
GAUGAAGAACGCAGCGAAAUGCGAUAAGUAGUGUGAAUUGCAGAAUUCAGUGAAUCAUCGAAUCUUUGAACGCACAUUGCGCCCCUUGGUAUUCCAUGGGGCAUGCCUGUUCGAGCGUCAUUUGUACCUUCAAGCUUUGCUUGGUGUUGGGUGUUUGUCUCGCCUUUGCGUGUAGACUCGCCUUAAAAUAAUUGGCAGCCGGCGUAUUGAUUUCGGAGCGCAGUACAUCUCGCGCUUUGCACUCAUAACGACAGCGUCCAAAAGUACAUUUUACACUCUUGACCUCGGAUCAGGUAGGGAUACCCGCUGAACUUAAGCAUAUCACUAAGCGGAGGA